rnacentral:rRNA from 1 species
UACGAAGGGGACUAGCGUUGUUCGGAAUCACUGGGCGUAAAGCGCACGUAGGCGGAUUCGUAAGUUAGGGGUGAAAUCCCGGGGCUCAACCUCGGAACUGCCUUUGAUACUGCGGGUCUCGAGUCCGAUAGAGGUGGGUGGAAUUCCUAGUGUAGAGGUGAAAUUCGUAGAUAUUAGGAAGAACACCGGUGGCGAAGGCGGCCCACUGGAUCGGCACUGACGCUGAGGUGCGAAAGCGUGGGGAGCGAACAGG